AUUGAACGCUGGCGGCAUGCUUUACACAUGCAGGUCGAACGGUAACAGGCCUUCGGGUGCUGACGAGUGGCGAACGGGUGAGUAAUGCAUCGGAACGUACCCAGAGGUGGGGGAUAACGCAGCGAAAGCUGUGCUAAUACCGCAUGUGAUCUGAGGAUGAAAGCGGGGGACCGAGCAGCAAUGUUUGGCCUCGCGCCUUUGGAGCGGCCGAUGUCGGAUUAGCUAGUUGGUGGGGUAAAGGCCUACCAAGGCGACGAUCCGUAGCUGGUCUGAGAGGACGACCAGCCACACUGGGACUGAGACACGGCCCAGACUCCUACGGGAGGCAGCAGUGGGGAAUUUUGGACAAUGGGCGCAAGCCUGAUCCAGCAAUGCCGCGUGCGGGAAGAAGGCCUUCGGGUUGUAAACCGCUUUUGGCAGGAACGAAACGGUGUCCGCUAAUACCGGGCGCUAAUGACGGUACCUGCAGAAUAAGCACCGGCUAACUACGUG
rnacentral:rRNA from 1 species